rnacentral:rRNA from 1 species
GAAGGUGUGCUGUGAGGCAUGCUGGAGGUAUCAGAAGUGCGAAUGCUGACAUAAGUAACGAUAAAGCGGGUGAAAAGCCCGCUCGCCGGAAGACCAAGGGUUCCUGUCCAACGUUAAUCGGGGCAGGGUGAGUCGACCCCUAAGGCGAGGCCGAAAGGCGUAGUCGAUGGGAAACAGGUUAAUAUUCCUGUACUUGGUGUUACUGCGAAGGGGGGACGGAGAAGGCUAUGUUGGCCUGGCGACGGUUGUCCCGGUUUAAGCGUGUAGGCUGGUUUUCCAGGCAAAUCCGGAAAAUCAAGGCUGAGGCGUGAUGACGAGGCACUACGGUGCUGAAGCAACAAAUGCCCUGCUUCCAGGAAAAGCCUCUAAGCAUCAGGUAACAUCAAAUCGUACCCCAAACCGACACAGGUGGUCAGGUAGAGAAUACCAAGGCGCUUGAGAGAACUCGGGUGAAGGAACUAGGCAAAAUGGUGCCGUAACUUCGGGAGAAGGCACGCUGAUAUGUAGGUGAAGUCCCUCGCGGAUGGAGCUGAAAUCAGUCGAAGAUACCAGCUGGCUGCAACUGUUUAUUAAAAACACAGCACUGUGCAAACACGAAAGUGGACGUAUACGGUGUGACGCCUGCCCGGUGC